GCAGGCUUAUGAGCGGCUGCUCCCGCCGCUUUAGCGGCGGGGGAGGAAAGUCCGGGCUCCCCAGGGCGGCGCACCCUGAGAACAUCAGGGCAUCCUUAUUUGAAGGAUAGGAUUAGAGCCACAGAGACGAGUCUGUAACCGCAGAAGACAUUGGUUGCAGGGUGAAACGAGCAAUCUCUGCGCGGAGUAAGGCCAAAUAGGUCCUGGUUAAAAGUUGCCCGCUUUAAAUGUUCGCCGUAAGGCGCGAUAUUGCCAGGACGGGUAGGCUGCAUGAGCCUUGGCGGCAACGUCAGGGUCGAGAGAAAUAGCCGCUCUUAGCGCGAAGUUUUUUCGCGCUAAGACAAAACUCGGCUUACAGUAAGCCUGUCUUA
rnacentral:RNase_P_RNA from 1 species